rnacentral:tRNA from 1 species
GUCUUUGUAGUAUAAUUAAUACUUUGGUCUUGUAAACCAAAAAUGGAGAAUAGUUUCCUCCCUAAGACU